UACGGGGGGGGUAAGCGUUGUUCGGAAUUACUGGGCGUAAAGGGCUCGUAGGCGGCCAACUAAGUCAGACGUGAAAUCCCUCAGCUUAACUGGGGAACUGCGUCUGAUACUGGAUGGCUUGGAUUUGGGAGAGGGAUGUGGAAUUCCAGGUGUAGCGGUGAAAUGCGUAGAUAUCAGGAGGAACACCAGUGGCGAAGGCGGCUCACUGGUCCGGUACUGACGCUGAGGUGCGAAAGCGUGGGGAGCAAACAGG
rnacentral:rRNA from 1 species